CCAUGCAUGUCUAAGUAUAAGCAAUUAUACGGCGAAACUGCGAAUGGCUCAUUAUAUAAGUUAUAGUUUAUUUGAUAGCACCUUACUACAUGGAUAACUGUGGUAAUUCUAGAGCUAAAACAUGCUAAAAAUCCCGACUUCGGAAGGGAUGUGUUUAUUAGAUUAAAAACCAAUGCCCUUUUGGGCUGCUGGGUGAUUCAUAGUAACCUCUCGAAUCGCACGGCCUUGCGCCGGCGAUGGUUCAUUCAAAUUUCUUCCCUAUCAACUUUCGAUGCGAAGGUCUUGUCUUCGCAUGGUUACAACGGGUAACGGAGGGUUAGGGCUCGACCCCGGAGAAGGAGCCUGAGAAACGGCUACUACAUCUAAGGAAGGCAGCAGGCGCGCAAAUUACCCAAUCCCGACUCGGGGAGGUAGUGACAAUAAAUACUGAUACAGGGCUCUUUUGGGUCUUGUAAUUGGAAUGAGUACAAUUUAAAUCCCUUAACGAGGAACAAUUGGAGGGCAAGUCUGGUGCCAGCAGCCGCGGUAAUUCCAGCUCCAAUAGCGUAUAUUAAAGUUGUUGUGGUUAAAAAGCUCGUAGUUGAACCUUGGGCCUGGCUGGCCGGUCCCCCUCACCGGGUGCACUGGUCCGGCCGGGUCUUUCCCUCUGUGGAACCGCAUGUCCUUCACUGGUCGUGUCGGGGAAGCAGGACUUUUACUUUGAAAAAAUUAGAGUGCUCCAGGCAGGCCUAUGCUCGAAUACAUUAGCAUGGAAUAAUGAAAUAGGACGCGUGGUUCUAUUUUGUUGGUUUCUAGGACCGCCGUAAUGAUUAAUAGGGACAGUCGGGGGCAUCAGUAUUCAAUUGUCAGAGGUGAAAUUCUUGGAUCUAUUGAAGACUAACUACUGCGAAAGCAUUUGCCAAGGAUGUUUUCAUUGAUAAGGAACGAAAGUUAGGGGAUCGAAGACGAUCAGAUACCGUCGUAGUCUUAACUAUAAACUAUGCCGACUAGGGAUCGGACGGUGUUAUUGAUUGACCCGUUCGGCACCUUUCGAGAAAUCAAAGUGCUUGGGCUCCAGGGGGA
rnacentral:rRNA from 1 species